UACGGGGGGAGCAAGCGUUGUUCGGAUUUACUGGGCGUAAAGGGCGCGUAGGCGGCGUGACAAGUCACUUGUGAAAUCUCCGGGCUUAACCCGGAGCGGUCAAGUGAUACUGUCGUGCUAGAGUGCGGAAGGGGCUACUGGAAUUCUCGGUGUAGCGGUGAAAUGCGUAGAUAUCGAGAGGAACACCUGCGGCGAAGGCGGGUAGCUGGGCCGACACUGACGCUGAGGCGCGAAAGCCAGGGGAGCGAACGGG
rnacentral:rRNA from 1 species